GAAAUUGACAGAAGAGAGUGAGCACACAGAGGCAUUUGUAUAAAUCUAUACCCUUGCUUUUGCGUGCUCACUUCUCUUUCUGUCAAGCUUCC
rnacentral:pre_miRNA from 1 species